rnacentral:rRNA from 1 species
UACGGAGGGGGCGAGCGUUAUUCGGAAUUAUUGGGCGUAAAGGGCGCGUAGGCUGCCCUGUAAGUCAAAGGUGAAAUCCCUCGGCUCAACUGAGGAACUGCCUUUGAAACUGCAGGGCUUGAGGCCGGGAGGGGGUAGCGGAAUUCCCAAUGUAGCGGUGAAAUGCGUAGAUAUUGGGAGGAACACCAGUGGCGAAGGCGGCUACCUGGACCGGUUCUGACGCUGAGGCGCGAAAGCGUGGGUAGCAAACAGG